rnacentral:rRNA from 1 species
UACGAAGGGGGCUAGCGUUGUUCGGAAUUACUGGGCGUAAAGGGCGCGUAGGCGGUGUGUCAAGUCAGGCGUGAAAGCCCCGGGCUCAACCUGGGAACCGCGCUUGAGACUGGCACGCUAGAGUUCGGGAGAGGAUGGUGGAAUUCCCAGUGUAGAGGUGAAAUUCGUAGAUAUUGGGAAGAACACCGAUGGCGAGGGCAGCCAUCUGGACCGACACUGACGCUGAGGCGCGAAAGCGUGGGGAGCAAACAGG